UCGCUGCGUGGAAGGAAGCUUAAAGCUUGUGAACUCUUCUUGAACCGAGAUUGGAGUCAUAUGGGCCAUAAAUCAUUGAGACAUACUCUCCGCCAUUCACAAACUGAUAGCCUAUUUCAGUCCAGCUUACCUUAGCCACCGACGAGGGGAGAACAGGCAGACAUAAUAUAUAUUCACAUCGAGCCCCAGCGCGAGCGGCAGGCGAGAAAUCUCCCCUCCUUGAAGGCAAAGGAAAAAAAAGACCACUGUUUAAAGCUGCGUCGCCACCCCCCCCCCCACAAAGCCACCCCGGCUGGGGAGCCGGAGGGGCAGACCGGCCAGAGGAGCUGCUCGGCGUCCGCUUCAAUUCACUCGGCUUAGGAGCAGGGGUGUGCAGGAGGAAGGGGGUGGGGGAGCGGGGAAAAAAAAAAAGAAGACCGAAAGGUGCCGGAGGCUCAGCUCGCCAGAAUCCAGCUCCCGGCUCCAGCAGGGCUAAGCCGCCACAGUGUGGUUGCCCUAUAAGACUGGUACGCCCUACUCUCUGUAACAAUGGCCUCUGCUUUUGCACAGGGAAAAAAAAACCACACAGACACACACACACACUCACUCACACACAAGCUCACACACACACCCACCUCUCCCCUUUUAGCAAGCUUAGAUGCCUGAUAAGGAGGGAAGGUGAUGGUGGUGAUGGGGAAGGGGGGGACAUUUUUUAAUAUCCCCCUCCCCAAAAGAAGAGUGAGAAGGAAAGAAGGGAGGGUUUCUUUUUAAAAAAACAGGUAAAAAUUUAAAUCUAGACUGGGGGGACAGGGAGGAAGAGGUGAGCAAAGGCAAGGAAGGGCGGUGAAGUUCACAGCUCCCCCCAUACCCCACUAGUAAACCAUUAUGCUAAUUUGAGAAGUAGCAUUUGGAGGCUGAGUCCAAGGCAGGCCUUGCCCGGGGGCGAAGGGGUGGGGGUGCCAGGUGCCCCUCUGCGCUCAUUUGGAAUUGGAACGCCAGGACUUUUUUAGAAAGUAGUUUAGCUCCUCAGGGACCAGUGGCUGGGUCUCCAGCACUCGCACUCUGACUCCCUCCUUCUGAGUCUCCAGCCCCAGCUUCUUCCCUCCACUACACCCUCUCUGUUCCUUCCCAAAUCUCCCCCUAAUCUCCAAGCCCAGUCUCUAACCAAGGGAGAGGGAAAGACCAGAUCUUUUUUUAAAAACACCCCUCCCCCCUGUUCUUUUUGAGAACAGACAACAAGCGGUGAGUGAUUUUUAAAACCCAGAACAUCUUGCAGGGGGAGGAGGGUUGAGAAAAGGGUAACAAAAGGAGGACCCUGUGUUUUAGCUUGAGCUCCAGACUGGCGGGCAGUAGAGGGGCUGAAAGAACUUCACGGAGAAGUUUCUCUUAUGAUUCUCACCUCUGGAUAGGCAGACGGGGCUAAGAGGUGAUAAGGACAUUUGUACUUCUAAGAAGGGAAGAACUAGCAGGGUGGCUUAAUUUUAAAUGCCCUGGCAGAAGAGUUUGGAAGAUGGUUAUUAUAAUGAUUCAGAACAACCCUGUUUGUUUCUCUCUGCUCUGCAAGAUUUAUGACUCUUGGCACAAGUGAGGAAGGCCACAAAAGCUAAAGUUUUCUUAGGGUGAGUUUGAGCAGGGCAGGAAAAGGCAAGGAGGAGGCCUGUAGGAGGAAGACAGGAGCCAAAAAUGUAGGUCUCUGCAGAUUUGGGACAGGGGGUGGGGAAUAGUCACUCCGGGAGGAAGAAAAAGACAAAAAGAGCACCAGGACAUUUCCCAAAGCAGGAGUGUUUGCGACUCUGCCUAACUGCUGACUCGGAGCUAGGGGAUGAAAUAGAAAGCAGACUCUUGUCUCUAAAAGCAGCUUGGAAAACUGGUUCUCUAAACUUUGUGUAAGGCAAUACUCUGUGAUUUCCUGGUUAGAAUACUUGGCUUUUGCCUUCUCCCAUCUGGAUGCACCAGGAGAUGGAAUGGGACUGGGGAAAUCAAAGGCUCUACUUUGGGAUGAGAAAGGGAGUGGCCCCCGGCCUCCAGCCCCCACUUCUUCCAGGCAAGGCUAAGUCAGGCCAGCUUUGCCUCUAGGAAUAAUACGAGAGCCCAGAAGGCACCCAGCGAGCCUCGGACCGGCUGCAGGAGAAGCGGACAUGGAGCUGAGCUGGAGGUGGAGGAGUUCCAGAGACAACAGCAGAUCCCUCCCCUCCCCAAGCCUCCUCAACCCUUUGUGGUCCCUCUGGCUACAGAAGGCAGUGGGGCAUAAUGGGGUGGGAGUGAAAAGGAGGACCGAGAAGCAAGAAAACGAACCUGGAGAAAAUCUCAGAGGAUAUGCACCCCCAAAUGCGGUAGGAGAUGGAGUGGGGGCUUCUUAAUUCUGGAGUACAGAGCCCAUUUGGAAUGCUUGGGAGGCAAUUAGAUCCCAGUUUGGUUUCUUUCUUGCCUUUUUUUAUUCCUCUUUCGGAGGUCUCUGGCAAGCAAGCUGCCCCCUGAUUAGGGCUGGAAGCAUGGAAGAUGGAGGGUAUGACAGGCACCCCUGAGGGGCCCAGGUUUGACUGAGGUGCUGCUGCUGGCCAGGGGCUUUUCAAACUUCAGGGAACAAAGGCUGGUAGUGAGGAGUUUGGGCAGGGAACGUGGGGAGGGAAGACUUUGGGGUCUGGGAAAAGAGAAGCAGGAGAAAGGCUUAUCAUCCCUGAUGGUGAAGUCGUGAUUUAGGAGCAAACUAGAGAUACAGAAGAAGGAAUAAUUUCUUCUUGGAUUCGGGAGGGAAACCUGGGAAAAUGUGUGUGUGUGCCAACAUGUGUGGGGUGUGCGUGUGUGUAAGAGAGAGAGAAAGGAGGAGAAAGAAAAACUGAAAAAGCGGAAAAUUGAGUAAGAGAAAGAGAUACUAACAUAAACUAAUAAAGUCAAAAUAGUAAUAAGGAUAGAGAUUAGAGAGAACGUUCCUCUUCACAGACAUCCUUUCCUCUUCCAUUCCAUUUCUUCAGAGCCAGAGCACUUGCCCUGGCACCUCUCUUCCCCACCCCACCGGGUACCCAGUAUCAGGGGAUGGGAUCAUUUAAACCCCCUUGAGCAACCAAGGGCUGCCCACCCAUCUAGAUUCCAUGGGAUCGUGCCUGUUUCUCUCCUCCUCCAAAAAUGCAUCAACUAGCAAACAAAAAUUCUCUCAAUAAGAGCAAACUGACUGGCGCUUUCAAAACCGAUUUCUGAUCUUAGACUUGGGGCAGUCAAAGAUCCUGCCCCUGGCUCAAUCAACACAAAGUUCGCCUGGCCCACCAGCUAGCUGGGGAGCUGGGAUCUGGGAGCCUGAAGCGAGGUGUUUGGCGAUGUGCUUCUUCCUGGCCCUGUCUGGGUUCCCGGUCCCACACUGUUUUCCAGCUUCACUGCCCAACUUUGUAGCCCUGGCAGAGUGGCGUUAAGUUCACACUCACCCGAAUCUCCAUCUUCCAAGUAUUAAUAAGGAUUUCAAAGCUGGGGGUUGUAAAGUGGGAAUUGCUAAUGAAGAAAGCUCUUGGCAUUCGGAUCCCUAUUCCCAGUUCUCCAAUAAGCCAGAGAGGGAGGGAACAAAGAGACACCGGGAAGGGAGAAGAGAAGGCCCACUUAGACCCUGCUCAGCAACAGUGGGGAUCAAAAGAAGAAAAAGGUCGCUGCAGUGGAAGAAGAAAAAUCCAAGCUGUACUUUUUCCCCAUCCCAUGUCUGGGGGCGCUGCCCUCUCCCCAGCAGAGCCCGUGAAGGGGUGGCGGGACAAAAAGAUCAGCCACAAGGGUCUGCAAAGUCCACUCGAUGACGUGGAGGCUGCCUUCACACGCUAAUGAGAGGAUGGCGGUGCUGCCAGCGAAGUCCAAAGCCUCAGGCAGGUGGGCUCUUUGGUGGUGAUAGAUCCCUAUCGGAGUCAGGGCUCCUGCCUCAUCUAGCAACUCAGCCUUAGCCUGGCGAACCCCACCCCCAGCAAGUGUUGAGACAAAGGUGGGCAGAGCAGAGAAGGCAGAGGAAGGGAGGUUGCGAAUCCUGGGCAGCUUAGGGACUGCAGGGGGUGCUGGGGAAGGGAGGGAGAAACAGGAAAAGAGGAAUGGGCCCAGUCCCCAAGGCUGAGUGGGCCUCUCCUGACAGAUUGUAUGUUUCUCGCCCAGUGACCUCUGUUUAGCAGACAAUAACUCACUGGAUUAAUGACCAAUCAGCGAAAGGUCUUCCGAAUUGUCUCCAAAUAUAAAACUCCGAAGUCAGAAUGGGACAGGGCCAGAGUCUGGGCCUGCCAGCCCUUUUGUUUUUUUCUCCUCAAAAUAGGGUUUGGAGCUAGGCUUUAGGAAGUGGAUUAUCUGCACAGAGUCUGAGAUUUCCCAUCCCAUCUCCUUCUUCUCUCCUCCCCCAGAAUUCAUAUUCCAAGCCACACUUCCCAAGGCAGUCUGGAAACCUCUCCUCCCCUGCUAGCCUCCUCACAUCCCUGACCCUACAAGAAAUUUCCUUGCUUACAACCAUGCAACUGAGAAGCCACCACUCCUUUGGAAUUGGGAGAGGAGCUGGAAAAUAAAAGCAAAUAUAGAGUGGGGGUUUUCCCCCUUGCAGAACUUCUGUCCUGGCUGCCCCAGAGGAGGUCUGGCAGAGUGCUGUGCCUCCUGUGUGUGCCUCCUCCCAAGAAGCGAGGGCCCAAAGGCCCAGGGUUGGGGUGAGGUUGAGAAGGGGGGCACCUGCUGUCACAGAAUCCAAAUUCUGAAACCACUGCUCAGUCCCUGGGCUGGAGUAGGGGACACCUUAAAAACCACACUCUGAGGGGAGGCCGAGGUGGUCGGAUCAUCUGAGGUCGGGAGUUGGAGACCAGCCUGACCAACGUGGAGAAACCCUGUCUCUACUAAAAAUACAAAAUUAGCUGGGUGUGGUGGCACAUGCCUGUAAUCCCAGCUACUGGGGAGGCUGAAGAAGGAGAACUGCUUGAACCCAGGAGGCAGAGGUUGCGGGUUGCAGGGAGCUGAAAUUGCGCCAUUGCACUUCAGUCUAGGCAACAAGAAUGAAACUUCGUCUCAAAAAAAAAAAAAAAAAAAAGCACUUUGAACAAA